rnacentral:rRNA from 1 species
GGGGCGCAASUGAUCUAGCCAUGCCGCGUGGGUGAAGAAGGCCUUCGGGUUGUAAAGCCCUUUUGGCGGGGACGAUGAUGACGGUACCCGCAGAAUAAGCCCCGGCUAACUUCGUGCCAGCAGCCGCGGUAAGACGAAGGGGGCAAGCGUUGUUCGGAAUUACUGGGCGUAAAGGGCGCGUAGGCGGCCCGAUGAGUCAGACGUGAAAGGCCUGGGCUCAGCCUAGGAAUUGCGUUUGAUACUGUUGGGCUAGAGAGCGGGAGAGGAUGGUGGAAUUCCCAGUGUAGAGGUGAAAUUCGUAGAUAUUGGGAAGAACACCGGUGGCGAAGGCGGCCAUCUGGACCGUAUCUGACGCUGAGGCGCGAAAGCGUGGGGAGCAAACAGGAUUAGAUACCCUGGUAGUCCACGCUGUAAACGAUGAGUGCUGGACGUUGGUGGGCUUGCCUGCCGGUGUCGCAGCUAACGCAUUAAGCACCCCGCCUGGGGAUUACGACCGCAAGUUA